rnacentral:rRNA from 1 species
CCUACGGGAGGCUGCAGUGAGGAAUAUUGGUCAAUGGACGAGAGUCUGAACCAGCCAAGUCGCGUGAAGGAUGACUGCCCUCUGGGCUGUAAACUUCUUUUAUAAAGGAAUAAAGCGAGGCACGUGUGCCUUUUUGCAUGUAUUUUAUGAAUAAGGAUCGGCUAACCCCGUGCCAGCAGCCGCGGUAAUACGUAGGGUACGCGCGUUAUCCGGAUUUGUUGGGUUGAAAGGGAGCGUAGAUGGGUUGUUAAGUCAGGUGUGAAAGGUUGCGGCUCAACCGUAAAAUUGCAAUUGAUACUGGCAGUCUUGAGUGCAGUUGAGGUAAGCGGAAUUCGUGGUGUAGCGGUGAAAUGCUUAGAUAUCACGAAGAACCCCGAUGGUGAAGGCAGCUUACUAAACUGUGACUGACAUUGAUGCUCGAAAGUGUGGGUAGCAAACAGGAUUAGAUACCCCAGUAGUC